GGGUUGUGAGGUUAAGCGACUAAGCGUACACGGUGGAUGCCCUGGCAGUCAGAGGCGAUGAAGGACGUGCUAAUCUGCGAAAAGCGCCGGCGAGGUGAUAUGAACCCUUGACCCGGCGAUGUCCGAAUGGGGAAACCCAGUGCAAUCCGUUGCACUAUCGUUAACUGAAUACAUAGGUUAACGAGGCGAACCGGGGGAACUGAAACAUCUAAGUACCCCGAGGAAAAGAAAUCAACCGAGAUUCCCCCAGUAGCGGCGAGCGAACGGGGAGCAGCCCAGAGUCUGAAUCAGCUUGUGUGUUAGUGGAAGCGUCUGGAAAGUCGCACGGUACAGGGUGAAAGUCCCGUACACGAAAAUGCACAGGCUGUGAACUCGAAGAGUAGGGCGGGACACGUGGUAUCCUGUCUGAAUAUGGGGGGACCAUCCUCCAAGGCUAAAUACUCCUGACUGACCGAUAGUGAACCAGUACCGUGAGGGAAAGGCGAAAA
rnacentral:rRNA from 1 species